CAAGAUGGAUCAAAUGAUGUUGGUGUAGCUGUCAUCUGUGGUAUGGGUGGAAUUGGCAAGAGCACCAUUGUGAAAGCUGCUUAUAACCAAAACUUUGAUAGAUUUCAAGGUAGCAGCUUUCUUGCAGAUAUACGAGAAUCUUCAGAACAACCUAAUGGUUUUGCUCGCUUGCAAAGAAAACUUCUUUUAGAUAUCCAAAAGGGGAACGCAAAGAAAGUAUACAAUGUGGCUGAAGGAAUAAGCAGGAUCAAACGAGCCGUAGGCUAUAAAAGAGUUCUUAUUGUUCUCGAUGAUGUGAACAGCCGGGAUCAACUCAAUGCAAUUCUUGGAAUGCGAGAAUGGCUUCAUCCAGGAAGUAAAAUUAUCAUAACAACUCGACAUGAACAUUUGUUAAAUGCUCAUGAAGUUUGUGAAAAGUUUAUGGUUCGAGAACUGGAUGAAGAUGAAUCACUUGAGCUUUUCAGUUGGCAUGCCUUCGGACAAUCCCAUCCGGUAGAAGGUUACAUGGAGCUUUCAAGACAUGUGGUGCAGCAUUGUGGAGGGCUUCCAUUAGCUAUUCAAGUUCUGGGAUCUUCUUUAUCUGGAAAAAGUGUAGAAGUAUGGCAAAGUGCAUUGCAGAAGUUAGACGUGAUCCCUAAUGACAAAAUUCAAAAAGUUCUGAGGAUAAGUUUUGAUUCUUUACACGAAGAUCAUGACCAAAAUUUAUUCCUUCAUAUAGCUAGCUUCUUCACAGGAAAGACGAUGGAUUAUAUAAUUACAAUACUGGACAACUUAGAGUUUUGCACAAGGGUUGGGAUUGAAAAUCUAGUUGAUAGAUGUCUAGUGACAAUUCAAGGGACGAAGUUGGUCAUGCAUCAAUUGUUGAGAAACAUGGCAAUGGCAAUUAUUCGCAAAGAAUCACCUCAUGACCCUGGAAAACGUAGUAGAGUGUUGCAGAACGAUGCCUCUAAUAUUUUGAGAAAAUUAAGUGUAAGAAAUGUGUUUUUCAUGCGUAUGUAUUUUUAGUUAUGAUUUGCAUGUGCAGUACUGGUUAUAUACUUACCCAAUGCUCUGAUUUUUUUGCAGGGCACAGAAAAUAUUAAGGGCCUCAUGCUCAACCUUGCUAGCAAAAGAACAUUUGUUGGAAGUGAUAACAAACGAUGCCAUGCUGAAGAUUAUGAUGGAAACUGUUCAAGACGACGUCGGCUUGGUUUCUUCUCUUGGAAGCCAGUUAGUUUUUCCUCCACAAACUCAGCUUCUGCAUCAAAUGAGAUAGAUUUCAAAUCUGAGGCUUUUAGAAGGAUGCACAAUCUUGAAAUUCUCAUGCUCAACAACGUCAACGUCAGGGGAAGCUACGAAGAAUUUUCAAAAAAAUUAGUAUGUUUAUCUUGGCGAGGAUUCCACUUAAAAUCAAUACCCGAAAAUUUUUGUUUGGAAAACCUGGUUGUUCUAGACAUGCGAAAUAGUAGCCUACAACAUGUUUGGAAUGAGACCAGGGUAUGUAAUUAUCUCUCUCUCUCUCUCUCUCUCACACACACACAAAAAUUAAUAGGGGCCAUUAUAUCUUCUUAGAAGCUAAUUAAUUUGUAUUAUUAUUGAAACAGGUUAUUCCGAGGCUGAAGAUUCUUAAUUUCAGUCAUUCGCAUGGCCUUAGGACAGUCCCCGAUUUCUCAGGACUCUAUAACCUUGAGAGGUUGAUUCUUAAACAUUGCAUAAAUUUGGUUGAGGUUCAUGAGUCCAUCGGAAACCUAGAAAAACUUGCUGUUUUGAAUCUAGAAGGCUGCAAAAAUCUCAUGAAGCUUCCAGUAUUGAGAUCUAUUCAGGAUCUUAUUCUUUCUGGUUGCUCAAAGCUUGAAAUGAAGAAACUCAAUCUGGUAUCAGCUAAAUCAUGGUAUUCAGUCUGGUCGUGGGUGUCGCCAAGAAAACAUACUGAAUUAAGCAGUUUCUCAUUGGCAAGUUUACCACGUUCUUUGAUAAGUUUAAGUCUGGAUUGCUGCAAUAUAUCAGAGAUUCCAAGUGCCCUAACUAUGCUGUCCUCGUUAGAGUACUUGAAGCUGGAUGAUAAUCCGAUUACAAGCCUACCAGAAAGCAUGAACAAUCUUGUUAAGCUCCAGAGUCUUAAAGUAUCUGGUUGCAGAAACCUCACAAUGCUUCCAGAGCUCCCACGUUCUUUGACAAGUUUAACACUGGCUUGCUGCAAUAUAUCAGAGAUUCCAAGUGCCCUAACUAUGCUGUCCUUAUUAGAGUACUUGGAUCUUGAUGGUAAUCCGAUUACAAGCCUACCAGAAAGCAUGAACAAUGUUGUUAAGCUCCAGACUCUUAAAGUAUCUGGUUGCAGAAACCUCACAAUACUUCCAGAGCUCCCACGUUCUUUGACAUGUUUAACACUGGCUUGCUGCAAUAUAUCAGAGAUUCCUAGUGCCCUAACUAUGCUGUCCUCAUUAGAGUACUUGGAUCUUGAUGGUAAUCCGAUUACAAGCCUACCAGAAAGCAUGAACAAUGUUGUUAAGCUCCAAACUCUUAAAGUAUCUGGUUGCAGAAACCUCACAAUACUUCCAGAGCUCCCACGUUCUUUGACAGGUUUAACACUGGCUUGCUGCAAUAUAUCAGAGAUUCCAAGUGCCCUAACUAUGCAGUCCUCAUUAGAGUACUUGGAUCUUGAUGGUAAUCCGAUUACAAGCCUACCAGAAAGCAUGAACAAUCUUGUUAAGCUCCAGACUCUUAAAGUAUCUGGUUGCAGAAACCUCACAAUACUUCCAGAGCUCCCACGUUCUUUGACAGGUUUAACACUGGCUUGCUGCAAUAUAUCAGAGAUUCCAAGUGCCCUAACUAUGCAGUCCUCAUUAGAGUACUUGGAUCUUGAUGGUAAUCGGAUUACAAGCCUACCAGAAAGCAUGAACAAUCUUGUUAAGCUCCAGACUCUUAAAGUAUCUGGUUGCAGAAACCUCACAAUACUUCCAGAGCUCCCACGUUCUUUGACAUGUUUAACACUGGCUUGCUGCAAUAUAUCAGAGAUUCCAAGUGCCCUAACUAUGCAGCCCUCAUUAGAGUACUUGGAUCUUGAUUGUAAUCCGAUUACAAGCCUACCAGAAAGCAUGAACAAUCUUGUUAAGCUCCAGACUCUUAAAGUAUCUGGUUGCAGAAACCUCACAAUACUUCCAGAGCUCCCAAGUUCUUUGACAUGUUUAACACUGGCUUGCUGCAAUAUAUCAGAGAUUCCAAGUGCCCUAACUAUGCUGUCCUCGUUGGAGUACUUGGAUCUUGAUGGUAAUCCGAUUACAAGCCUACCAGAAAGCAUGAACAAUCUUGUUAAGCUCCAGACUCUUAAAGUAUCUGGUUGCAGAAACCUCACAAUACUUCCAGAGCUCCCACGUUCUUUGACAUGUUUAACACUGGCUUGCUGCAAUAUAUCAGAGAUUCCAAGUGCCCUAACUAUGCUGUCCCUCGUUGGAGUACUUGGAUCUUGAUGGUAAUCCGAUUACAAGCCUACCAGAAAGCAUGAACAAUCUUGUUAAGCUCCAGACUCUUAAAGUAUCUGGUUGCAGAAACCUCACAAUACUUCCAGAGCUCCCAUGUUCUUUGACAAGUUUAACACUAGCUUGCUGCAAUAUAUCAGAGAUUCCAAGUGCCCUAACUAUGCUGUCCUCGUUGGAGAAGUUGGAUCUGAGUUGCAAUCCGAUUACAAGCCUACCAGAAAGCAUGAACAAUCUUGUUAAGCUCCAAACUCUUAAAGUAUCUGGUUGCAGAAACCUCACAAUACUUCCAGAGCUCCCACAUUCUUUGACAAGUUUAACACUGGCUUGCUGCAAUAUAUCAGAGAUUCCAAGUGCCCUAACUAUGCUGUCCUCGUUGGAGAAGUUGGAUCUGAGUUACAAUCCGAUUACAAGCCUACCAGAAAGCAUGAACAAUCUUGUUAAGCUCCAGACUCUUAAAGUAUCUGGUUGCAGAAACCUCACAAUACUUCCAGAGCUCCCACGUUCUUUGACAAGUUUAACACUGGCUUGCUGCAAUAUAUCAGAGAUUCCAAGUGCCCUAACUAUGCUGUCCUCAUUAGAGUACUUGGAUCUUGAUGGUAAUCUGAUUACAAGCCUACCAGAAAGCAUGAACAAUCUUGUUAAGCUCCAGACUCUUAAAGUAUCUGGUUGCAAAAACCUCACAAUGCUUCCAGAGCUCCCGCGUAGUUGAAACAAUUGUGUGAUCGUGGUUGCACAUCAUUGAAAAGAAUAACAAAUUAACCGAAGUUGGGCAUGUCACCGGGCUUAGAUUACCGGUUUUCUUGCAUAGUAAUGGACCCAAGGCUAUGGUAUUGUGGGAAACUUGUUGAUUUUAGAAGCUUGUUGGAUACACUAGCAUUGGACUUAUAUCUCUCAGAUCUAUUCGAUUUGGAACCCAAAGGUGGCAUUGAGGUCCAAGGGAACUAUUGUGAGAGUUUGGGCGUCAAGGUUCUCUCUCUCUCUCUCUCUCUCUCUCUCUCUCUCUCUCAUGUACAAAUGCUUAUAAUAUGGUGAAUAAGAUCUCUAUGGCGUAAACGAUUAGAUUGUAAUGACAACACCACCAUGAAACUGCAGGGAACUUUUCACUGCUGCAUAUUGAGCAUAUUUGUUCAUGGGAGCAAGAUUCCAGAUCGGUUCAAUUACAGGAGCAUGGGUAACACUGUGUUCUCUAUUAUUGUUCCUUCACAUCUAAGGGGGGUGUAUUCAAUUAGGAUUUUGAGAGAGUCUCUAGGAAUUAAUGAUUCCAGGUGUAUUCAAUUGGGAAUUUAAAAGACUUUAUAAAAGUCUUGGUGUAUUCAAUUGAGAUUCUUAAAGACUUCUUACAAUUCCCUAUAAAUUCAGGUGUAUUCAAUCAUAACUUUUUGAAAGUCUCUAAAAGUUUAGGUAUAUUGAGAAAGGAAUUGGAUUUGAACGGAUUUGUGAUUUGGUGGAUUUUGGAGGAUUUCAAGGUGAUAUGUAUACCAAAGAGCUUGGCAAAUCUCACCUCAACCCUAGAAACUUUGAGACAUGUUGAGCGUGCUGCUCUCUCCUCCAGAGAGCGUCUUCUCCUCCCCAGAAACAUGGGCUCCAAGGUAAAAAAUUUCUCACCUUGUACAUGCUAUCUUUUUUUCUCCCCUUCAAGCUUCAUGAUUUUCUUGUUUUGAUAGUGUUGUUCUAGGGUUAGGGUUUUUCUGGUUACUUUGGAGUUAAGGUUUUUCUUGUUAGGGUUAGGGUUUUUCUGACCAUCAAACUUUGUGAAAUUUUUAUAUAUAUAUUGUGAAGAUACAAGUAUUGAUUUUACCGUUUGGAUCCAAAAGUUGUUGAGUUUCUGCUUUGAUUACUUUGGAAUACAGUAUAGAUUGGGUUAGGGUUUGGAAUUCUCAAGUUUGUAUAGGUUGUUUUCCUUUUCCAUCCCGUAAUCAGUGGAGCACUGAUCCUUUUCUUUUCAACUGCAACAUUCUUGCAACCUCAUUCUUUUUCUUUUCAUCUUAAUAAAAAAUUUAUUUCAUGCCUCAAAGUUUUUUUUUUUAGUCGAAACAUGGUAGGGUGAAGUUGUUUCCUUGAUUUUUCAACCUUUGUAUCUAGUCUAUUCCUGAUCAGCCUGUAAUAGGGCUCGUACUUCUUGGCAUUCUUUACGGUAUCAUAAAUCAAAUCAAAACCAAUGGAUUUCCCCCUCCAAAAUGGGUGCAGAACUUGAAUAUGAAGAUGGAAUUUGGGUCCCUCACCUCUGAAAACGUUGUCUAUACAAAUAAUUUGUCACUCCAAAAGUUGUUGAGUUUCUGCUUUCUCUAUUCUUUUAAAAUGUUUUUUGCUCACUUAUACGAAUUAGCUGUGAAUAAAGAAUCCAUGUGAUCAUAUACACAAACUAAUUACGUUUAUUAUCUUAUUAUAGGGAGUUCAUUUGGAGUUGCAAGGAAGUGAUUUCAGAGGUGAGGCAUUUAUGUCCAAUAUUCUUCUGAACUAUCGUCCUAAUAUUUAGAACUCACCUUGAUAUGUAAAUGUAUGACUGGAACGAAUUUAUGACUCCAAACUGUAUUAGCUGCUUGUAACUUUGAUUUGGAAUUCAUAUAUAUUCUUAGUUGAUGGGAGGGUUCAGCUCAUGACUCCAAACUGUUACAUGAUGUUGUAUCAAGGAAGAACAGACUUAAAGUUCCAGAAGGUUCGUAUUCAUUCAUUUAUUUACACUAGGACGUACCAUAAAUAAUAACUUUAUGUGUUUUAUUUUUAGGUAAAUUUUUUCUAGUGGAUUGUGGAUUUGCAAAUCGUCGUCAAAUUUUAGCUCUGUUUUGAGGUGUUCGAUAUCAUCUCCAAGAUUUUGCUGGUAACGAUCGUGACCCCGUAAAUGCAAAUGAGUUGUUCAAUCUUCGACAUGCUUCCUUGAGAAACAUAGUGGAGAGGAUAUUUGGUGUAUUUAAAUCUCGAUUCAUAGUUUUUAAGUCUGCACCUCCAUUUCCAAUGAAAACACAAGCAGAGUUAGUGUUAGCUUGUGCAGGAUUGCACAACUUUCUUCGCAAAGAGUGUCGUUCUGAUGAAUUUCCAAUCAAACAAGAAGAUGAUGAAUUUGAAAAUGAUGAUGAACUAGGUAAUCAAACUCAAGAGCAACGGCGACAGAUUGCUAAUGCAUGGAGAGCUAGCAUAGCUACAAAUAUGUGGACAGAUGCUAUGAGUGAGAGCAUUCAAAGAUGACAAAUAUAAUUAAUUGUUUUUACGGAUUGGAGUAUGCAAUUUGUGUUUGAAAAACUUUGAUAGUUAGUAUUUUGUAAGCCUUAACUUUCAAGAUUUUGGAUGCCAAUGUUUAAUUCACUUUGAUAGCUACUUGAAAACAUUGCAUGUGAACUUGGUAUUGGGAUUUGGUAUUAGUAGGAUGAAACUGAUUUUGGCUUGUAAAGGGAAGGAAAAUGUUGAUCAAAUUCUCUAAAAUUCUCUAACCCCAUGUAAAGAAUUCUCUCAUAAUUCAUGUGAAUUCUCUGGAAGUUAUAAUUAAUUCACUCAAAAUCUCUGGGAAUUCAUUUUUUUUUCCUCUCAAACUCUCUCAGAUUCCAUAGAUUUAAAUUCCUGGAGACUCUCAAAAUCCUAAUUGAAUACACUCCCCUCUCAAGAUCGUAGGUUUAAACGCAUGUAUAUUAUAUGCACAGCAGUCGGAUUGCCUUGAGGUUGCACGUGACCAUGAUGACCAUUCGCUAGAACUUAGGAAUGAGACAAAGGGCCUUAAGUGGAACUGCCACUUGUGGGAUGAGGUUGAAUGGAAAGUGAUGAACGAAGAUAUGUUAUGGCUUAGCCGUUGGAUCAUGGGGGAACAAUGAGUUGGAAUGCGGGGAAAGAGUGUGUCUUGCAAUCAAAGAGGACUAUGGUUUGCUCACAAAGGAGAUUGGAGUCCAGUUUGUGUACGAGCAGCAAAAUAAGGAUAAGGAGGAUGUCCCAUCAAGUGGUGAAGAUACAACGAUCCAACGUGAAAGAUCUACUUGGGAGUGGAGCCAAAGUUUCCUUGAAACCACAAG
rnacentral:lncRNA from 1 species